rnacentral:rRNA from 1 species
CCUACGGGGGGCAGCAGUGGGGAAUAUUGCACAAUGGGCGCAAGCCUGAUGCAGCCAUGCCGCGUGUAUGAAGAAGGCCUUCGGGUUGUAAAGUACUUUCAGCGAGGAGGAAGGCAUUAAGGUUAAUAACCUUAGUGAUUGACGUUACUCGCAGAAGAAGCACCGGCUAACUCCGUGCCAGCAGCCGCGGUAAUACGGAGGGUGCAAGCGUUAAUCGGAAUUACUGGGCGUAAAGCGCACGCAGGCGGUUUGUUAAGUCAGAUGUGAAAUCCCCGGGCUC